AUACGUAGGUCCCGAGCGUUGUCCGGAUUUAUUGGGCGUAAAGCGAGCGCAGGUGGUUUAUUAAGUCUGGUGUAAAAGGCAGUGGCUCAACCAUUGUAUGCAUUGGAAACUGGUAGACUUGAGUGCAGGAGAGGAGAGUGGAAUUCCAAAAUGUGUAGCGGUGAAAUGCGUAGAUAUAUGGAGGAACACCGGUGGCGAAAGCGGCUCUCUGGCCUGUAACUGACACUGAGGCUCGAAAGCGUGGGGAGC
rnacentral:rRNA from 1 species